CUGGCGGCAUGCCUAACACAUGCAAGUCGAACGGCUCUUCGGAGCAGUGGCGCACGGGUGAGUAACGCGUGGGAAUCUACCCUGAGGUUCGGAAUAACGGUUGGAAACGACCGCUAAUACCGGAUGUGCCCUAUGGGGGCAAAGGCUUGCCGCCUUGGGAGGAGCCCGCGUCCGAUUAGCUUGUUGGUGGGGUAAUGGCCUACCAAGGCAAUGACGGAUAGCGGGUUUGAGAGGAUGAUCCGCCACACUGGUACUGAGACACGGACCAGACUCC
rnacentral:rRNA from 1 species